CCGAGGCCCUGUGAGGGGCAGGCAGACGCCCCAAUCAGAGGAGUGGAAAGCCACGUGGGGCGCUAGGAAGGAGGGCCUUUUAGGGUUGGCACCAAUCAGAAGAAAGACUGCUGGCACUGUAGAGUCCCAGUGCUUACUGCCCAGAUGCGUAUCACAUCUGAUCCUAUUGGGAGUGUUCCUAAGAGGUUUCAUUGACCCACUAUUGAUCAUGUGCCUCAUCACAUCAACCAAGUGUGAAAACAGAUUUCCACCUUCGGCCAACGCACCUGCUGGUAAUCAACUGACCUGCUGCUCAUCAUCCCCAUCAGACUGGUCACUACGGCGGCUGAGUUGUGAUCAUCGCUGGCACGUGUAGCCCCAGCUGUCACAGUUUCUCUUCUCCCUGGUGCAGACCUUCCUUGGUCCCUCCCUGUUUCCCUUGGACCCUGUUGAGCGAGUGUAUUCAUGAGUGAGCGUCAGCGUGGAGUGCAAGUUUGGUCAUGUAAGUGACUGGCUUUGUGAAGACAGGAGUUUGGGCGUGUUUGCCUUCUCUGGAUUCUAUGGAGCUCCUGUUCCCUUCACCAUUGUAUAUAGCAGCUGGUGUCACUUAAAUAAACUCACCUUUAUUGUGAACAUUCAGAGACCCGCGUUUGAGUCCUGUCAAUCAUCUUGACAUGUGAAUGGGCAGAUUGAAGGCUCAGUCUGAAAGCCCAGAAACAACCUCCAUAAAGUAGCUCUGCUUUUGUCACUGUGGACUGCUACCAGUAUUAUUUGUGUCACAGUAAAUAUUCAAAUUUUCUUUAGAUUUCUCUGUUUUCCAAGCAUAUCAGAGACAUAUCAGCAAAUCAGUUCUCUCUCUGUGGCACUGUUAGCUAAAAGUUAAUAAAUUAACACAGGGUGUUAUUCUGAGGUUUUUUAAUUUUUCCCCCUUUUUGAUACAAUGUAGUGACAGACAUUAAAAUGAAGCAAAAUCUUACAAAUUUAAAGGAAGGAGAUGAUGAAGAAUUCAGAACUGAUGAAAAAUGGCAGGAGUAACUGUUAGGUAAAUCACAUU